rnacentral:rRNA from 1 species
UACGAAGGGUGCAAGCGUUACUCGGAAUUACUGGGCGUAAAGCGUGCGUAGGUGGUUUGUUAAGUCUGAUGUGAAAGCCCUGGGCUCAACCUGGGAAUUGCACUGGAUACUGGCAGGCUAGAGUGCGGUAGAGGAUGGCGGAAUUCCCGGUGUAGCAGUGAAAUGCGUAGAGAUCGGGAGGAACAUCAGUGGCGAAGGCGGCCAUCUGGGACAACACUGACGCUGAAGCACGAAAGCGUGGGGAGCAAACAGG